UACGGAGGGUGCAAGCGUUAUCCGGAUUCACUGGGUUUAAAGGGUGCGUAGGCGGGCAGGUAAGUCAGUGGUGAAAUCUCCGAGCUUAACUUGGAAACUGCCAUUGAUACUAUCUGUCUUGAAUAUGGUGGAGGUGAGCGGAAUAUGUCAUGUAGCGGUGAAAUGCUUAGAUAUGACAUAGAACACCGAUUGCGAAGGCAGCUCGCUACGCAUAUAUUGACGCUGAGGCACGAAAGCGUGGGGAUCAAACAGG
rnacentral:rRNA from 1 species